rnacentral:rRNA from 1 species
CCUACGGGAGGCAGCAGUGGGGAAUAUUGGGCAAUGGGCGCAAGCCUGACCCAGCAACGCCGCGUGAAGGAAGAAGGCCUUCGGGUUGUAAACUUCUUUUAUCAGGGACGAAACAAAUGACGGUACCUGAUGAAUAAGCCACGGCUAACUACGUGCCAGCAGCCGCGGUAAUACGUAGGUGGCAAGCGUUAUCCGGAUUUACUGGGUGUAAAGGGCGUGGAGGCGGGAGAGCAAGUCAGACGGGACAUGCCAGGGCUCAACCCUGGAACUGCGUUUGAAACUGGUCUGCUUGAGUGAUGGAGAGGCAGGCGGAAUUCCGUGUGUAGCGGUGAAAUGCGUAGAUAUACGGAGGAACACCAGUGGCGAAGGCGGCGUGCUGGGCAGUAACUGACGCUGAGGCGCGAAAGCGUGGGGAGCAAACAGGAUUAGAUACCCUUGUAGUC